ACCACUUGCUGUAUUCUUGAUGGUUGUGCUGCAGGUUCUACUUCUGGCUCUGGCUCAGACUCUUUGACCAAUCAUCAAAGCUUUGUUUGCAUUUCAGCCCAGCAGAUUGAUAUUUGUUUUUAUUCUGUAUCUGGAUGCAAAAUGCAGACAUUUCCUGCAGCGAAGACACUCAGCUGUGGAUCACAGAGGGACUUUAGCCAGGAGAUGAGACCAGUGGUUGGGAUAUAAAUACAGAGUGAAGAUGUGUGCAGCUUGGCAUGGCGCCACUUCCCUCAGGGCAAAAUGUGGAACCAAAUGUGGUGAUGUGUCAAGCCAAGCUCCUCACACCGCCUGCAAACAGAGGGGCAAUCAAGCAGAACAGCGUCAGUGCUUUCGCUUGCAGCCUGUUUCCAGCGGCGACGCUCUAACUUUAACUCUACACGACCUCCUGCGGUG